AUGUGGAAGUAAGAGACAGAGAACCCUAGUUACUGCUGCAAAGAAUAGGAUGUCAGGAGCAAUUGAGUGGUAAGAGAGAAAAUUAAUGUAGCCCCUCCAAGAAAGGGUAUCAGGGCACCCUCAUCUUAUUCCUUCAGAUAGGAGUUUCUAGCUCUUGGUGUUUACAGGAUAACUGACAACAAGUACUGCUUUUCUAAGGGUCUCAGGCACCAGUUCCACCCCAGAUGCAAAUGGGUUCAGGACUGACUUGCUAUUGCACUUGGCUCCUCAUACAGUUCUGAGACUUAUGUCCAGAGACCUCUACACAGCCUUCUAUUUGCUAAUAAAGAGAAAUAGACGAAUCAGGAGUUUUGCUGCUCUAUCCCCAAAUCUGCAUAGUUUCCCCAAAUCCCAUCAAAACAGAUUUCAAAAUAGCAAUCUAAUAUCUAAGAUUCUGUUAUCUUAGUUCUGCUUUUUUCACAGUCAACAUCAGAGAUGCUUUUUUCCCCCCAAGACAGAAUCGCCACCUUUGACUAUUCCUUCCUCAUUCACCCAAGGGAUCCAUAUCCCUUCCAUCCACUGUAUGGAAACAACAUACAGCUCCUGCUUUUCUCCAAGAUGGUGCCUCACUAUAUGAUGGGUCUGUGUGUAGCUCUCCUCUUCUGGCAAUCAACGAGCUGUGGUCUUACUAGAACUCAGUUAAGAGCAUGACAGAGCUACUAAGUAGAAGGUGGGCUUUUACUUCCCGUCAGCCUGUCUAUAUUUAUGCCUCUGCUUGCAAUGUAGUGUAUUUUUCUCUAAGGCAGCUACCUUUUAUUUUUGUCCCAAUGCAUCAUUACAUAUUACUUUGUGAUAAAAAACAGUUUAACAAUUUAUUUUUCAAACUGUAAUGUGUCUUCUCUGAUUUUCGCACCUUGCUAAUAUAUGGUUAAUAGGCAAUGUAAAAGUGAAACUUAUGCCAUAUUAGAUGUGUUACGGGAAUUCGGAUAACCUCUACCUCUGUAGUGAUUCAGGAUAAACAUGGGAGAAUGAAACUUGCAUAAGAUAAUGACAUAUCAGAGUUUAUUAGAACUGUCAAAACUUUAAGAGUCAUUAUACCAGUAAUUUUUGUUGAUAUCAUAGAAUAUAGGAGA
rnacentral:lncRNA from 12 species